GGGUGUGACAAUACCAGCAGUAAUGCAUAGGAUCCCAUCAGAACUCUGUAGUUUAGCGUGCUUGCAGGAUAGUAGUACUCUAUAGUUAUUUGCGUUUUUCGAAAUAAAUAAUUUCACCUG
rnacentral:rRNA from 1 species